UAUAUCAGUCAUGCAUAGCAUAUCAAUAAGCGGAGGAAAAGAAACUAACAAGGAUUCCCUUAGUAACGGCGAGUGAAGCGGGAAGAGCUCAAAUUUGAAAUCUUCAAGGUUUUACCUUGACGAAUUGUAGUUUAAAGAAGUGUUUUCUGUUGAAGUUUUGGUAAAAGUUCUUUGGAAUAGGACAUCAUAGAGGGUGAGAAUCCCGUAUUUGACCAUUACUUUCAGCUUUGUGAUACACUUUCAAAGAGUCGGAUUGUUUGGGAAUGCAGUCCAAAAUGGGUGGUAAAUUUCAUCUAAAGCUAAAUAUUGGCGAGAGACUGAUAGCGAACAAGUACCGUGAGGGAAAGAUGAAAAGAACUUUGAAAAGAGAGUUAAACAGUACGUGAAAAUUGUCAAAAGGGAAGCGUUUGACACCAGUGUUGUUUUCUCGAAAAUCAAUUAAAAAGAGUUGGAUUUUGUGUUGUAUUGACUUUAUCAGGCUUUCUUCACUCUUUUCCAGCUUUUUUUAAUGCACUUUUCGUUUAACAAGUCAACAUCAGUUUCUUUUGUUGUAAAAAGGUCAUUGGAAGGUGGCUUUCUCUUCGGAGAAGGUGUUUAUAGCCUUUGACUCAUGCAAUCGGAGAGACUGAGGUCUGCAGCGUAGAUCCUUCGGGGUUAGAUACAUUUGUGCUAAGUUAUAGCUUUUCAUAGACAACUUGUUGACUAUGUUUAGUCUUGUAGCUUACUCGCUUAUGCUAUUUUACCUACGCUUAGGAUGUUGAACUCUAUCACACACAG
rnacentral:rRNA from 1 species